AUCUUCUUAUCGAGUGUUGUUUUGCUUCUUUCAAGGAUAUGCAAAGAGUGUAAGGUUUGAGAGUAUUUUUGGGCAUUAAUCAGCCAAGGAAGGAGUGAUU